GUUUUUUUUAAUAAAAUUUAGUAUGUUCCUUUUAAUAAAAUAUGUAUGAAGUAUUAACAUUCUUUUUGAAUGUGAGGAGCACAGUGUGAGGAAAAAUAAGCAAAU